GCCGGGCAUGGUGGCGCAUGCCUGUAAUCCCAGCACUAUGGGAGGCCGAGGUGGGAGGAUCACCUGAGGUCAGAAGUUUGAGACCAGCCUGACCAACAUGGUGAAACCCCAUCUCUA
rnacentral:SRP_RNA from 1 species